AGUUUUGUUAGAUAAUUUUUGGAUAGGUAUCAAUAGAGUGUUUGCAAGGACACUGCAUAGUAAGGAGUGGGGCUAUGUAGAAUAAGUAGUUAUUUUCAGAAUGUAAAUACCUAGUGUACGUGUAAAAAGGGAUAGAUAACUGCUGAAAAGGUGGUUCAGCAGGUAGAAUGGAUGAAUAGUUAAGAAAAGUAGUUAUCAUCUGUAGUAUAGGAAUUGUUAUCUCAGGGUAGUAUAAGGAGGAUGGGAGAGGGGAAGAAAAUGUUAGACUGUGAGAGUUGUGAGCCGAGGGCCAGACUGCGAUAGUAUUGAGCCGAGGAUAAG
rnacentral:lncRNA from 1 species